rnacentral:lncRNA from 1 species
GAAGAUCUGUGAAGGCGUUCCUCCUGGCGAAACUGGAAUUCCUUCUACCCUUUGCUUUCCUGCCCUCUGCUUCUUCUUCUCUCGGUAGUUCGUCUCCCCUCUACUUCUGGUUGUCCGUUCGUUCUCCCCUGUGUUUUUUCCGUUCUCUAUGUGCUGCGUGUGUUUUGUUCUCGGUUUUCUCCCUGCUUCAUCCCCCACUGAUUUUCGUUUCCAUCCCCUCUGUUGCUGGUCUGUUCGUCCUGGGUUUUUUUUUGGGUUCCCGUUUUAUGCUGGGUUUUUCUUCCCCUGGUGUCCUUGCCUCUUUGGUGUUUUUUUUCGUUUCUGGUAUUUUGCUCUCUUUCUCUCCCCUCCCGUCAACCUGGUUUCGGUUCCCUUUUUAUAGAGCUCGAGAGCUUCCCCCCUAAAUCAAUCCCAUCUUUGCAGGACUGUUAUUCAAAUCACGAGAGGGAUUAUGCGCAAGAGACGUGGUCCACGAUUGGAUCAAAUUUGUUGCAGAUCUUCAGCCUUUUGAACCGCGAUGGAGACGACGAACACAGCUGUUCCCAGCAACGGCGACGUUUUCAAGCAACCCGUGGACAUUUUCAAUUUGACACCUGAACUUUGGAAAUUUCGCAAUUGGACCCCUAAGCAAAUAAAAAUUUCUUUCAAUUUUGCCCUUUUUGGAUAAAUUUCAAUUAAGUCCCUGAAUUUAUUUAAUUAAUUAAAUCAAAGUUUUAAUUAAGUCCACAAACUUAUUAAUUCUUCUAAUUUCAUUAAUUAAACUAAUCUAAACUUUAAGUAAAUUUCCAAACUUAUUAAUUCUUCAAUUUCUGACCAAUUUAUUCUCAAAUCUCAUAAUUUUAUCCCUAAAUUUCAAAAUUUGUUGUCUUAACCCCAUUGUCAACUAUAUUUUAUUAUUUGUUCAAAAAUUGGGUUAUGACAGUUGCCCCCUCUUUAUAAUAUUUACAAUACCAAGAUAUUGGAAAAUUUCAUUUUCCUUAGCUUUGUAUAGUAAAUUUAUAAAGAAAAGUAGAUACGGAAAAGGAGUCUUGAAAACUUUGAAAACAGUCGAUUGACAUAUAACUUUUUACAGAGAGAACAAGUCAUUUGGAAGACAGCUUAUUUAUUUUUUUUAUUUUUUUAUUGUUUUUUUUUUGUGAUGGUAUAUUGUAAUGGGUUACCGGCCCAGAUGGUCACAUUAUAAUGGGUUACCUGCCCAGUAUAGGAUGGUAUAUUGUGAUGGGUUACUGGCCCAAAUGGUCACAUUGUAAUGGGUUACCUGCCCAGUAUAGGAUGGUAUAUUAUAAUGGGUUACCGACCCAAAUGGUCACAUUGUAAUGGGUUACCUGCCUAGUUGGUAUGUUGUAAUGGGUUACCUGCCUAGUUGGUAUGUUGUAAUGGGUUACCUGCCCAGUAUAGGAUGGUAUAUUGUAAUGGGUUACCGACCCAGUUGGUAAAUUGUAAUGGGUUACCAGCCCAGGUGGUCACAUUGUAAAGGGUUACCUGCCCAGUUGGUCACAUUGUAAAGGGUUACCUGCCCAGUUGGUAUAUUGUAACGGGUUACCAGCCCAGAUGGUCACAUUGUAAUGGGUUACCUGCCCAAUUGGUAUGUUGUAAUGGGUUACCUGCCCAGUUGGUCACAUUGUAAUGGGUUACCUGCCCAGUUGGUAUGUUGUAAUGGGUUACCAGCCCAGAUGGUCACAUUGUAAUGGGUUACCUGCCCAGUUGGUCACAUUGUAAUGGGUUACCUGCCCAGUUGGUAAAAUACAAGGAAUUUUUUUAUUUUUUUUUAAUAAGACGAGGGCUCGAAGGCGCGCUCGAAUGUAGAUAAGACGAGGGCUCGAAGGCGCGCUCGAAUGGAGGUAGGAUAGAAAAUGCACUACCUUUGAUGGUCGAGGGCUCGAAGGCGCGCUCGAAUGGAGGUAGGAUAGAAAAUGCACUACCUAUGAUGGUCGAGGGCUCGAAGUCGCGCUCGAAAAGAACUCAGACGAGGGCUCGAAGGGGCGCUCGAAUGGAGGUAAGACGAGGGCUCUAAGGCGCGCUCGAAUGGAGGUAGGAUAGAAAAUAAACUACCUUUGAUGGUUGAGGGCUCGAAGACGCGCUCGAAAAUAAAUAAGACGAGGGCUCGAAGGCGCGCUCGAAAAUAAAUAAGACGAGGGCUCGAAGGCGCGCUCGAAUGUAAGACGAGGGCUCGAAGGCGCGCUCGAAUGGAGGUAGGAUAGAAAAUGCACUACCUUUGAUGGUCGAGGGCUCAAAGGCGCUCUCGAAAAUAAAUAAAACGAGGGUUCGAAGGCGCGCUCGAAUGGAGGUAGGAUAGAAAAUGCACUACCUUUGAUGGUCGAGGGCUCGAAGGCGCGCUCGAAAAUAAAUAAGACGAGGGCUCGAAGGCGCGCUCAAAUGGAGGUAGGAUAGAAAAUGCACUACCUUUGAUGGUCGAGGGCUCGAAGGCACGCUCGAAAAUAAAUAAGACGAGGGCUCGAAUGCGCGCUCGAAUGUAAGACGAGGGCUCGAAGACGCGCUCGAAUAGAGGUAGGAUAGAAAAUGCACUACCUCAGGUGUGGAAACUGAAAGGUGGUGAAAAAAUACAUAGAUUUUUCUGGUGGCCUAAUUCUCAUGGGCGACCUGCCUAGGUUGAACAAUUCUCAAAAAUGAAAAAUUUUCAACAGCAAUUUUGAUCUUUGGCCAUUUCAAGUUGGCCUUCCACUUGAUGGAUUCUGUUUGAAUUUUUUUCUAAUGCAGAAAUCAUUGCUCAAUGUCUCAAAGUUUAGAUGAUAUGCAUGCAUCUUUACCUGAUUUGAAAUAUAGGCCCCCAUUUCUUCACAAUCUUCUUGUUGAUUAGUUGGUGAGAUCUGAUUUAAGUCAUCUUUGUCGCUUGACUUCCAACCCACUCGAGUUGGCCCAUGUAAGUCUACUUCCAAAUUUGUUUUCAUAACUCAGCAUUUGUGGUGCCCAUCGUGACCCACUUGCUUGCUAAAGAUUUUCUGAUUCGUCAAAUAAUUUGAGAGGAUUAUUCAUUACCCCUCGUCUCACUACUAAAAACAUUCGGUAUCACUUGCUAAAAGGAUCGAGCUGUCUUUUGUAAACCAAAAUGCCCCCUUAUCUUGUUGUAAUGGAUGAUAGGUUUUCCUUCAACACAAUGUUGUCCCCUUGUACUGGUCAUUGACCCCAAGUGUGCUAUGUUACUGGCUUAGAUGAAUAAUGAUUGUAAGAGGUCAUUCUCUCUUUUGGUGAAGGAAUAUGAGUCUAGAAUGAAUCUUGAAAUCUUGAUCUUGCAUUUUGAAAACAAAAAUUAUUUCGAUGUGAGUCUAAAAUAAUUUGCUUUUGAAAUCUUGCAACUCCUUGGUUAUUUUCUUUCUUGGAAAAGAGAUUAUUUGCUCUUGUGUUUGGUAAUGAGGUCUUCGGUGAAAAUAUAUCAUGAGAUGACCUUUUGUUUCGAAGUGAAGGGCUCGAGAAAAAGCUCGAGGUUUUGUAAGAGAAAAACUUGUCUCUUUUUGAACAUUUAUUUUUAUCAGCAUGAAUAAUAAUGAGUAGUUUAUUCUUGAUGUCAUGAAUCUUAUGAAAAAGUAUCUUUGCAUUUUGAGAGCAUUGUUUAUUGUUCUAGGUUGCUUGCUUGCUUGAUUAGAAAGGACUUUUACAGGCACGUAACGUAGGCUGUAGUUUUCGGCUAUGAAAGAAAAGGAUAUAAAGCUCAAAGAGUGUUUCAGGGUUUCAAAGACUGAAGAUCACGAUCAAUAGUUUGACUUUUGGCGUCAUUCAUGUUAUCUUUUGCCGCUCUUCUUUGAUUUGCCCCUUUUUUUUUUUUCAUUGCUUUGCUAGAGCAUACUCAUUUUAUCUUGGUUAUCACUUUUUCUUGUGAUUUGGGCAUGCCCCCUAGCAUUUGAGUUUCUUGGGCUCUUUUGCCUUUUGGCUUUCUCACGGCUUUAUCCUCUUUCUUGAUCAUUGAAAUUUCACUUGCCCCUUUUUUUUUUGAUGUGGGCAUGAUCCCUAGCAUUUGUGUUUCUUGGGCUCUUUUGCCUUUUGGCUUUCUCACGGCUUUAUCAUCCUUCUUGAUCAUUGAAAUUUCACUUGCCCCAGUGUAGGGUGUGAUCUUAGUCGGGAUUUUUUAUGAAAGAAAAAUUAUUCAGGCUCAAAAAGGGUUUGCAAGGGAUGUACUUAUUUUAGAACGUGAAAGGAAUAACAAAGAUGGCCUUUCCUCAUUUCAAGCGCAAGCAGCUAUGAUCAAUAAACUUUGACCUCGUAUAGUGUGAUGGUUUAUUCUUUGCAAAGAUGCAUUUCAUGAGUUAUGAGCAACAAGUUCACUACAUACCAUUAUUCAUACAUUUAAAAACACAUGAUUCAAGAGUAAUGGGGUAAGGGUGUUUAUUCUUUUUUUUUCACAAUUGUUUUUAUAAUUUAGUCACCUCAAUGAUGGAGUUGCUUGAUUCACUUGUCAUUCUACAAGUAGAAUGUCAAAAAUAUCGUUUUUGAAUAAACAUCAAAUUAUUUUUUGAAAUCAAAAUGCCAGAUCAAUUUUUUUUCAAAACUCCAAUAGGGAAACUGAUUUUUGGUAAAAGAGAUGAAUUGCGUCUAUGAGAUCGCACAAGGCUUCAAAGAUGUGUUUGUGAAUCUUUAUAAGAAAACUCUCUCAGAAAAAUGAAUAAUGCUAAUCGUAAACACGAUUGAAUGACAAACUCAUUAUUUUCAUUGAAACUUUAGAAAAUAAGUUCAACAAGAAAGAACUUAUGACAACAUCUUGGGCUAUGAAUACUGGCAUGAUAACAUAUAAAGGGGCUAAACAUUUAGCGAUCAUUGAUUGGAAUUUCUGGAAUAUUUCAAUCAUUCAUUCUCCUCGACAAGGGCAUCUUUUCAACAGUCAAUUGAAAUCAAAUGUAGAUCAUUCUCGACCUAAUAUCACCAUAGCUUUAUCUUCAAGAUAGUUGAUUUCUAGGAGUCGAUGUGAAGCAAUUAGCUAUAGAAAUGAUAAGUGCCUUGGCAACCACCUUCAGUGAAACCGUUCUUCUCAGUCGGGUUAGCAAUCUUACCUAACCCAAUGGCUUGUUCAAUCCUCUCAGCUAUAACAACCAGGUCAGUGAAAUGUUGUGCAGAGCUUCUAACCAAGUAUUCAAAGUACGGAGCUUUAAAGGUGUCGGAAAAUAAAUUGAUCAUCUCUUUUUCCAACAUGGGAGGGUUAACUUGUGCAGCUAACUCACUCCAUCUCCGGGCGUAUUCUCUUAUGGACUCCUUGUUGUCCUUCUCCAUAGCUUGCAAGCUUAAACGAUCAGGGCCCACGUCUAUAUUGAACUUAUAUUGCCUCAUGAAGGCAUCAACUAAAUCCUUCCAUUUUUUAACCUUGGUAUUGUCCAACCGCAUAUACCAAGUGAGGGCAACAUUACUCAGACUGUCUUGAAAUAAAUGAAUCAGCAGUUUCUCAUCAUGAACCACCUCAGCCAUUUUGUUGCAGUAUGCUUUGAGAUGAUAGGGCAUUGAGUUCCCGUAUAUUUAACAAAUUCUGGCACUCUAAAUUUUUUUUGGAAUGACCACGUUGGGCAUCAAACACAUCUCAACAGCCUUUAUAGGAUCAUAUAGGUGAAUUCCCUCAAAUGCCCUCAUCCUUUGUUCUAGGGCAAUGAAUUUGUUCAGCUCAUCUUCUUUUACCAUUUUGCUCUUUUGAGAUUCAUUCUUUGUAGAAUCAAUAGUAAACGACAUUCUCGUGAGGUAUGCUGGAUGAAAAUGCAUGGCUUGUUGAAAAUCAGAUGAAGGGAUUUACACGCAUAGGUUCAGGCUGAGCUAUAAGUGUUGCUUUUCCGGAUUUAUCUCUCAAGGACUGCUCGAGUAGACUAGUAAGCCUUGCGACUUCUUCUUUAAGAUUGUCCACCUCUUUUUGAUGUUGGGCUUCCAACUAGGCUCUUUCUUCAUCUUCCAUUUGUCUUUUUCUCGAAUGGGCUUCAAUGGGGAGCCUAUAUUUUAACCUGCUAUAUGUAAAUCUUGCAAUUAUGCAAAAAUGUUGAUUCAAUUAAAAAUGCUAUGGAAUGCAGACACGUCCUUCACGGGAUGACAACCUAAUAGGAAGAUCCUAAUUGUUGAGUGCAUCAAAGGGUUGGUCAUUAUCUAGUUUCAAAGGGUCUCUCGCAUGCUCAGUGAUCGUCCAUGAAAGGUCGAUAUGAGGCUUACAAGUAGUGUGAAAAUAGAGGCCCUGAGUAAUAUCAGUUUGGCAUAUCAACCACUUCCAAGUAAACAAUCAAGCGAGAGUUGGAUGGUUUCACGAGUCUUACCCAGGCUAAAGCCAUUGGGGUACCGUUACUUUCCCACUUAUCCUAGAUUUUCAGGUGUGUGCUCUCAACGUGAUGCAUGACAAUAUAAACAUGGAUGCAUGCUAAAGCAGUAAAUUCAAGAAAAAUAAACAAAUAAACAUAACAUAAAAAACAUUAUAACAAUUGAUAAACAAAAGGCAAAGCUUAGUCCAUUAGUCCCCAGUGGAGUCGCCAUUCUGUCGCACCCGACAUCGCGGCGGCCUUAAAAAUUAAUUAAUCUUUGGAAAGAACGGAUUUCUGGCAUCCUGUUCUUUAAUGUGGAUAUUCUUGUUUAAGGAGUCGCCACCUAGUAUUAUGGUCACUAGGAACCCUAACUGGUCAACAGAGAUUCUAUGGUUCGGGACUGGUUACGUAAAAGGGAAGAUAUUAUCACCCCUUAAACGUCCUGCCUGAGGCAGGCUGCAUUGCUAGUUUCGUCUUAAAUUGCUAAAUGUUUAUUUUUUGUUAUGAAAAUUUGCUUAUAAUAUUCCUGACUCUGGCGCAGUGAAUAUUAACUACGAAUAAUUUCCAACUCUGGCGUUGAUAAAUAUUACGUAGCUUAAAAUAAAUUUAAAUCAAUAUUUUUUAUUCCCGACGUAGCUAAAAAAAAUAAAUGUAAAUCAAAUGGUUUUUUUUUUAUUCCCGACUCUGGCGCCAGUGAAUAAAUAAAUAAUACUACAUUCAUUUUUACGCAUGCAUAUAUUUUUUAUUUUUCUAGCUAAAAUAAAAUAAAAUACAACGAAUAAAAAUAAUAUAAAUUUAAACCGGUAUUCUUAUUCCUGACUCUGGCGUCAGUGAAUUAACCAAUAAAUUUACAUUAUUUUUAUUCAUCCAAAUAAAAUAAAAUACAACGAAUAAAAAUAAUAUAAAUUUAAACCGGUAUUUUUAUUCCUAACUCUGGCGUUAGUGAAUAAACCAAUAAAUUUACAUUAUUUUUAUUUAUGCAUACACAUUUUUUUUUAUUUUUUUGGGUUGGGCCCGGCCCGGCCCAGCUCAGCAUUUAUUUUUGGGCUGGGCCCAGCUCAGCCUAUAUGGGCUGGGCUAAGCCCAGCAGCCCGGCCCGGCCACUGGCCGGGCAAAAAUCAACCAGAAGCACGCGUGCUGUAUACUGUGCAAAGGUAAUUAAAAUUACCUUCGCACAGUAACAACCUUAUUGUAUCUGCGAAAACGAAAGAGAAUUCAAUGAAAACUAAAGAAAGCUUACCUGCUCUGCUGGAGUGCUGCUGUUUUGGGCGAAGAUCUGUGAAGGCGUUCCUCCUGACGAAACUGGAAUUCCUUCUACCCUUUGCUUUCCUGCCCUCUGCUUCUUCUUCUCUCGGUAGUUCGUCUCCCCUCUACUUCUGGUUGUCCGUUCGUUCUCCCCUGUGUUUUUUCCGUUAUCUAUGUGCUGCGUGUGUUUUGUUCUCGGUGUUUCUGUCUUUUUUGUUCGCUUCUCCUAGACUUCCUCUUCGUUUUCUGGGUUUUCUCCCUGCUUCAUCCCCCACUGAUUUUCGUUUCCAUCCCCUCUGUUGCUGGUCUGUUCGUCCUGGGUUUUUUCUGGGUUCCCGUUUUAUGUUGGGUUUUUCUUCCCCUGGUGUCCUUGCCUCUUCGGUGUUUUUUUUCGUUUCUGGUAUUUUGCUCUCUUUCUCUCCCCUCCUGUCAACCUGGUUUCGGUUCCCUUUUUAUAGAGCUCGAGAGCUGCCCCCCUAAAUCAAUCCCAUCUUUGCAGGACUGUUAUUCAAAUCACGAGAGGGAUCAUGGGCAAGAGACGUGGUCCACGAUCGGAUCAAAUUUGUUGCAGAUCUUCAGCCUUUUGAACCGGGAUGGAGACGACGAACACAGCUGUUCCCAGCAACGACGACGUUUUCAAGCAACCCGUGGACAUUUUCAAUUUGACCCCUGAACUUUGGAAAUUUCGCAAUUGGACCCCUAAGCAAAUAAAAAUUUCUUUCAAUUUUGCCCUUUUUGGAUAAAUUUCAAUUAAGUCCCUGAAUUUAUUUAAUUAAUUAAAUCAAAGUUUUAAUUAAG